AAUAAUAAAACGAAAAAAACAAAAAAAAGCGAGAACAAACAAAGAUAGAAAUAAAAAGAUAAAUAAAUUCGAGGUGCUUGUUCCUGCCUUUCUCCCCAUCCAACCCUUCUCUCUCUUUUAUUCU
rnacentral:ribozyme from 12 species